rnacentral:pre_miRNA from 1 species
AAUAAGAUCGUUUUUCAGUUUUUUAUAAUAUUUUGAUUCUUCGUCUUAUUUGAAUUUUUUUACGAUUAAUAUUUUUAUUCUUAUUAUAUGAUAAAAUAUGAAUAGAACUUUACGUGCGACUAAUUUUUUAAAGCUUUUUACAAAUUUUUCAAAUAAAACGAAUGAUCAAACAUUGGAUAUAGAAAAAC